rnacentral:lncRNA from 1 species
AAUAUGAUAUGUUUUUGGAUAAUAUCAUUUUGGUUAAAUUUUUUAAUUGGCCAUAUAUUUAGGGGGAGCAUAUAAUAUGUUUUUGGAUAAUAUGCAUUUUGGCAUUCUUUUGAUGGCAUGAUGGUUCAUGAUCAUUUAAUGGUUAAUUGGAUGUUUGGUAAUUAUAUGUUUCUUGAUUAACCAUUGACAUAUUAUCGGUCUCAGCAUGAAUUUCUAGUAAUUUUGAUGAUGAAGGAGGAGAAGUCAUGUAUUUUGAAUAUGAAGACAUGUAAUACAUAUUUUGUAUUUCAAGUAUUUAUGCAUGGUUUUGAAAUAUUAAGGGGGAGCUUACAAAUUAUCAUAAAUCAAAUAUUCAGGGGGAGUUUUUGUUUUGAAUUUGAUUUAUAUGUUUAAUUAUAUAUGCCAUGUAUUAAGGGGGAGUACAAAUGUCAAAAUACAUGAGAUGUUUGUCAUCAUCAAAAAGGGGGAGAUUGUUAGCCUAAAAGGCUAUACAUAA